GGUCAAGGGAAGGAAUUUUUCCUCCCUAUUUUGCAUUUGCAAGGCCACAUCUGGCCACUCUGCUCCGUUUUGGGCUUCCCAGUACAAACUGGAAUAAAGAGAAGGGAGAGGCACUGUAUGCCUAGGGCGAGAGAGCAUUUAAGGAGGAGAGGCCUGGAGAUGAGAAGGUUAAGUCUGCACCUGACUGAACAGGAUAGAAGAGAAUGUAGAACCGAAAUUUCCAUUGAGGUGUGCAGAAAAAGGGCAAUAAGCAGGAAUCACAAGUUGUAGCAAAGGAAAUUUUGUCUGUCUGCAAUAAAAAAAUCACAAGAAUAUGUAGGAAUUUCAACAAGAUUUGUGAUUAUACAAUGCCCAUCCUUUGAUUUUGUCAAUAUAAUUUUAGAUAUAAGGAAGAAAGACAUCCACUUUAAGGAAGAGAAAGGGACAAUGUCUUAAAAUCUCUGGAUCAGACCCCAGGCCCUUUCAUCACAGCACCAAUACUUUCCCAAGUGACUGCAAACCACAGUUCAAAGAAGUCAUAAGAGUAUGUUUAAACAUCUUAUUUUACUCUGAUACACAACUCUGGACUCAGGUUAUUAUACAGUUCUACAUGAAACGGUGCCCUGUGAUGUAUUUGUGAAAUAGCAGGUAUGUGCUCAGACAUGACAAGAAGUAAAUUUAUUGCCUUUUGUUUGCAGGCUUUAGCUCCUUAGAAGAUAUCAUGUUAACUCUCUAAAGUGGCAUAUCAAAAUACAUGUGGUUUGUUUUUUUUUUUUGUUGUUGUUUUUUUUUUUUUUAGCUAUAGCUAGGUAAUCUUUGCUGAUGAUUAAGCAUCAUUGUUAAGCAUCACUUUUGUAGGUUUGGAAACUUAUGAGUAGAGAGAUCAAUCACAGAAUCACAGAAUUGUUUUUGGAAGGGAUCAUCUAACUCCAAGCCCUCCUGCCAUGGGCAGGGACACCUCCCACCAGUCCAGGUUGCUUAAAGCCCCAUCCAGCCUGGCCUUGAACACUUCCAGGGAUGGGGCAUCCACAGCUUCUCUGGGCAGCCUGUACCACUGCCUACCACCCUCUGAGUGAAAAAUUUCUUAUAACUGAUCUGAAUCUACCCUCUUUCAUUUUAAAAGAAUUACUCAUUGUCCUGUCACUACAUUCCUCACCUUCCAUUUAGGCCUCUUUUAAGUACUAAAAGGCCACUAUAAGGUCUCCCUGGAGCCUUCUCUUCUCCAGGCUGAACAAUCCCAACUCCCUCAGCCUGUCUCCAUAGCAGAGGUGCUCCAAUCCCUCGAUCAUCUUUGUGACCCUCCUCCAGAUUUGUUCUAAUAUUUCUGUCCUUCUUGUGCUGGUGGCCCCAGAGCUGAAUGCAGGACUCCAGGCAGGGCCUCACAAGAGCAGAGUAGAGGGGGAGAAUCACCUCCCUCUCCCUGCUGGCCGCACUACUUUUGAUGCAGCCCAGAAUAUGGUUACUGCCAUCUAAUGUUGAGCUUCUCAUCAACCAGCACCACCAGGCCCUUCUCCUCAAGGCUUGUCUCUAUCCACUCAUCAGCCUGUAUUCAUGUUUGGCAUUGGCCCAGCCCAGACGCAGAACCUUGCACUUGGCCUUGUUGAACCUCAUGAGGUUCGCACAGGCCCAGCUCUCAGGCCUGUCCAGGUCCCUCUGGUUGGCAUCCCUUCCCUCCAGCGUGUCAACCGCACCACAGAGCUUGGUGUCAUCGGCAAACUUGUUGAGGGUGCACUUGAUCCCACUGUCCAUAUUACCAACAAAGAUCUUAGAUAAUACCAAUUCCAAUAUUGGUAUAUUCAGUAUUUUAUCAUGUCAUACUGAGGUGUUUUUGCUGUGAAUUAUUUUCUAAACCCACGUUAUUGAGAUGGUAGCAACCAGCUAUGCUUUUAAAGAACUAAAAGUCAAAAAGCAUUUCAACAUCUGGACAGUAUUUGUUCUUAUCAAUUAGCUAUCAUUUAAAUGAGUCUGAUAGCAAACAGGGGUAAUUGCUCAAUGUUUUUUGAAACUAGAGUUUACAAAAAACAGCGGAGCAGUUUGUGAAGGAGUGUAUGCUGUAGGAGGGGAAGGAGCAUGAUGAUGAAGGAACAGCAAAAAGCAUUACAGACUGGCUGCAGUGCCAAUUGCCCACCCCCUGCACUGGGAGGUGUAGGUGGAAAAAUCAGGAGCAGAUUUGGGCCUGGGAAGAAGGUGGGGUUGGGGGAAAGGUGGUUUUAGUUUUGUAUUUAUUUCUCACUAUUCUACUUGGUUACUAAUUGGAACUAAGUUAUUUAUGCUCCGCAAGUCAAGUCUAUUUUGGCUGUGACGGUAACUGGUAAAUCAUCAGCCUGUCCUUAUGUUGAUCCAUGAUGUUUUCUUCUUAUUUUCUCCUCCUGUCCUGUUGAGAAUGGGGAGUGAGAGAGCAGCUGGGUGGGCACCUGCUGGUCAGCAAAGGUUAACCUAGCACAGAUACAUAUCAUGCUUCAAAUGUGCUGACUAGGUGGAAAACCACUGCGCUUUUUCUACUCACUCCAUAUCACAGAACCGUCAAGAAGCAAAAUGUUUGAAGGUGUGGUGUUGUGAAGAGUGAUGCAGCUUGCAUUGCUAUAGCCUGCAAUAACACUUCACCUUCCCAAAGUACUUUAUAAAGUCAAAAUUCUGUAAAAUAUUUACAUGCGGUAAAGGUGAAUGCAACUUUGCAUAAGUUUUGAGCAGAGAAAUUUAGACAGAGCAAGGAUUAGCCAAAACCAAGCAAUAGCAAAUGGCAAAGCCAGAACUCUAAACCAUGGUUCCCAGCCCUACACACAACCCUCCAGUGUUGUGGUAAUGGCAGCUUUGUGGUAUGUCUGACAUCCAUAUACACAUUCUCAUCUCUAAAAAAUAUAAGAAUAAAGUAAGACACCAACAUAUUUUCCAUGCCUACCAGAGUAUGAACACUUCAGAUAUGAACUGCAAAACAAAGCUAAGUGCCUUGCAAAUGUAUUGAUCAGGAUCGAGUUUGACCUUUUAGUAUUUACUUAUUUUUUCAAAACUGAAAUGAAUUAGUUUUUUUGUUGUUUUUCCCUAAAUGAAAUGUAACAACUUGUGGGUAGGAAGCUUGAAAUGACUCUAACCUGAGUGUUUUUUGUAACUGAUUUUUAAUGGAUGAGAUGAUAUAGAGUUCUUAUGUGUAUGUGCACUACAGAAAUCUCAAUAAAGAUUUUAUUAAUUUAAUUAACUUAUUAAACUUUAGUAACUUUUAACUGUGGACAUGGACUUGCCAACAUUGUACUACAAGGUUUCACACAUUAUAGUUGUCAGAAACAGCUUAAAGCCAGUAAAAGUCUACCUUUACUGUAAUGCAGAAAUUAAGAUAUAAAAAAUUCAGACACCAGAGAACUGGAUAGUUUAACACAAGAUUCACAAAUGUUUUUCAGAAGGCAACCAAUCAAAUUAGUGUUUGUUAGUGUUCUAAUUAUAAUCUAUUCAGCCAAACACUAUUGAAGUAAACCUGAUCUCUCUUUUCAAAUGUAGCUUUCAGUUUCAGAGAGACUAAGAACUUAUUGCAAGACUUUAUCACAAGUCCUUUACUCAGAAAGAUUUUGAUCGAUUCAUUUAGGUUGACUUGAUUGUGAGACCUACAAAAGAACUUGCUGGAAUAUAAAUUUACUUGUAAUUAAAAAGCUAAGAUACAAUUUUGAGGCACUAAUAAUAUAGAUAUUUGGACGAAGAACUGGCUGAUAACCCACCAAUGAGCAGCAAGAGUUGUCUGCUCUGCUUGGGAAAAUGAGCUGACCUUAAAUGAAAGCAGUCAAGCACUCAGUGAGAGAAAGAGAUUGCAGAGGGGAGCUACAGAGAGAGAUGGUUACAGGAUUCUCAUGGGAAUUAGAGCCUGCUGGUACGUUCAAGGCCCUGCCACAAUCUUCCUUACUGAGACAUAACAAAGAAAAGGUUUAUUAUAAAAGAGCUAGUUGAUUAUGUGCAAGCAUAUUUAAUGUAUUUUGUAUUAUUAGACAUAUUUCUGUUUCCUUAAUCUUAUUUUGCUUUAAUUUUAGCCAUAGGAUUUAACCAUCAUAUAUUUAAGUCUGUUACAGUAGAUUUUUUAAUAGGUGAGAGGGAAAAAUGAGCUCACUUUAUGCAGCUUUCCUCUUGACUACUCAAAAGACAUUUAAGGCUUUAAUAGCUUAGAAUUGACAAUUUAGAAAAAAAGACACAUCAUGUCUUCAUUAUAAACCAUCUGGAAAUCUAAGUGUCAGUAUACUAGCUUCACAAUGAAGUGUGUAUAUCUUAUGCUUCAGUCCUGUUGUCUUAAUGGCAGGACAGGUUCUAGUGUUUUUACGGGCAAAUAGACAAUACGACAAUGUCUUAUUUCAGCCAUCUGUUCAGUUUCUGAAAGCACUGCUUUAAUUCAUAAUGAUGAAUUAAUCUUUUUAUUAUAAUCUAAGAUUAAUCUCAAUGUAUGUCAUCAUUUUUCAGCUUCUGUCUGGUUAUACCAUAAACCUAGUAGCAUGACUUUAAGUUGACUUUGAAAUUGAAUUUCAGUGGGGUAGGAAUUUAUCACGGAUUGCUGAAAGUUACUCACUAGCUGUAUGGAAAUAGGACAUCUAUGGAAAUGGAAGCGAUCAGCUGAGUUUUAAAGUCUGGUUGUGCUCAACAGACAUUUAGUUUCUAGAUGUUUAGCCUAGAAGGAUUUUUCUCCCUAUGCUUUCUCUUAAAUCACAAAAUGCAUCAAAACCUGCAGAAAGUAUCAGGCUCUACAGAAAAGAUCAGGUCAGACAGAAAUACACUAUAACUCUUAUCCUGUAUUGCCCAUAAUCUCUUUAUCAUUUGUUGUAUUCUCUUGCCAUUUUGUUGAAUGUAGCCUUACAUAGAAAUCCAAACAAAAUGUGCUUGAAUAACAUCUCAGUGAGGUUCCAGUUCUGACUACAGACCCUUAACUACUAAAUAAAUAUAAAGAACAAAUUUAAUUACUUAGUGUUUUUGGAACUCUAAUAAUGUUUUCUAACAACGAGGUUGAAGCAGGCUGUUGACAAGCAAUUCUCCCACUCCCAGCAUGUAGUUAGUGCAGGAAUAUUUCUAUGGCAAUCCUGUAGUAUUAGCGGUAAUGAGCAGAACAGCUACUGUUUGUCUAAAAAGUUGCCAAUAUCAGAAACCAUGGAAAUACUAGUGUAAUUCCAUUGUUAAACCCAGUAAUACCAUACUGGGAUAUGCACUCGGCAAAGAAAAUAAAUUAUUGGCUGUACAAUGAGAUGCUAAUUUAUAAAUGGUUAUUAAAAUAAUCUUAUUGCAAAAAUUUAUCAUGCAAGUUACUUAUCUGUAGAUGAAAGUUGA